UUAGAUACCCUAUUAUACUAGUAAAAACCUAAAUUAUUAAUAGAUACAGUCUUUAAACUUGAAGAAUUUGGCGGUGGCUUAUUCUAAUUAGAGGAACCUGUUUUUGAAUCGAUACUCCACGUAAAAUCUUGCUCAUUUUAUUUAGUUUGUAUACCGUCAUUAUCAGAUGAUUUCAAGAGAAAUUUAAUCAUUAAGGUUUAUGAAAUAGUAGAUUAAAUUAGAUCAAGGUGUAGCUUAUAAAUGAGUUAAAAUGGGUUACAAUAAACACUUAUUUAUUACGGAUUAGUUGAGAAGAAAGCUACUAGGAAGGAGGAUUUAAUUGUAAUGCAAGUUUAAUAAGCUUGAAAGAUAUGAGCUCUAGGCUAUGUACAUAUCGCCCGUCGCUA
rnacentral:rRNA from 1 species